rnacentral:rRNA from 1 species
GUUAAAACGCUCGUAGUCGGAUUUCGUGGUCGGGCGACAGGUCUCCUUCACAGGUGCACUUGUCGGCUUGCCAUUCUUACCGGAACGGCUGCACUUUUUUAACUAAACGUGCAGUUGGAACGGUUUAUUUACUUUGAAAAAAUCAGAGUGUUUCAAGCAGGCAGCUCGCUCUUGCAUGGAUUAGCAUGGGAUAAUGAAAUAGGACUUUGGUGCUAUUUUGUUGGUUUCGAACACCGAAGUAAUGAUUAAAAGGGACAGUCAGGGGCACUCGUAUUCCGCCGAGAGAGGUGAAAUUCUCAGACCAGCGGAAGACGAACCACUGCGAAAGCAUUUGCCAGGGAUGUUUUCACUGAUCAAGAACGAAAGUUAGGGGAUCGAAGACGAUCAGAUACCGUCGUAGUCUUAACCAUAAACAAUACCGACUAGGGAUUGGAGGAUGUUCACUAUCGACUCCUUCAGCACCUUACGGGAAACUAAAGUCUUUGGGUUCCGGGGGGGAGUAUGGUCGCAAGGCUGAAACUUAAAGGAAUUGACGGAAGGGCACCACCAGGAGUGGAGCCUGCGGCUUAAUUUGACUCAACACGGGGAAACUUACCAGGUCCAGACAUUGUGAGGAUUGACAGAUUGAGAGCUCUUUCUUGAUUCGAUGGGUGGUGGUGCAUGGCCGUUCUUAGUUGGUGGAGUGAUUUGUCUGGUUAA